CGUUUGCAUCGGGCCUCGGCAGCUCCUCCUCCCCUGCAGCCCAGCGCCCCACUCCGGCAGCACUGUGCAGGGGCAGGGACCGGGUUGUGUGUUGCGCUGGGGAGCACAGCCACGUGUCCUGCUCCGCACAGAGCCCAACACCAUGUUCUGAGUGGCAGGAAAUUGGCUGCAGUGCUGCUGGCCGCCAUUAGGGGCUUCUGGACCCAGCAGAGCCCAGCUUACACAUAGAAGACACUGCGGGGAGGAGCAGGAGGGUUCCUGGCAGCUGCAAUUCCCAACAUGCCCUGAGGGAAGGAGACAGUGGUGCGCAGGAAACUCCACACAAGCACAGGACUCAGAAGCAGGCUGUUUCCUCUUCUGCAUCCCUGGGCGAAUUCCCCCAGGAGUAAAAUAUCCCUGAAGGAAGGAACUAUCUCUAUGCUGCUUGAAUUCUGAGGGGUGAAGAUUACUAAGCAUAAACAAGAGCUCCCCAGGACUUGGCCUGGUUUAGCCCCAAAGGACAUACAAGCCUACAUAUUACAGCAUCUUCUGUUACCCUUUUGGAUCAUUAGGGUAACUCUUGUGUGUGUAUAUUUACUUACUUUAAUCUUGUAAAUAGCUAAUUUCUUUUCUUAGUUAAUAAACCUUAAGGCUGUGGUUCUCAAACUAUUGUACUGGUGACCCCUUUCACAUAGCAAGCCUCUGAGUGCGACCCGCCCUUAUAAAUUAAAAACUUUUUUUUAUAUUUAACACCAUUAUAAAUGCUGGAGGCAAAGCGGGGUUUGGGGUGGAGGCUGACAGCUCAUGACCCCCUAUAUAAUAACCUCGUGACCCCCUGAGGGGUCCCGACCCCCAGUUUGAGAACCCCUGCCUUAGAGUAUGUCUUUACUACCUGCCGGAUUGGCAGGCAACGAUCGAUUAAGCGGGGGUCGAUUUAUCGUGUCUAGACUAGACAUGAUAAAUCGACCCCGAGCACUCUCCCGUCAACUCCUGUACUCCAGCUCAGUGAGAGGCGCAGGUGGAGUUGACAGGGGAGCAGCAGCAGUCGACUCACCAAGGUGAAGACACCACCAUAAGUGGAUCUAAGUACGUCCACUUCAGCUACAUUAUUCACAUAGCUGAAGUUGUGUAACUUAGAUCGAUUCUCCUCCCUCCCCCCCAGUGUAGACCAGGCCUUAGUUAGUUUAUUAUAGGACUGGCUACAAAUGUCAUCUUUUGUGAGAGAUGUAGGGUACAACUGACCUGGGGUAAGUGACUUUUUUUUGGGACUGGGAAUAACCUGAAUAUUGCUGUGAUUUUUUUGUGUAAGGGAACAUCUAUCACAAAGGCAGGCUUGCCAGGGUGGCAAGAUAGACUGGAGUACCCAAGAGGACUACCUAGCUCCAUGUUACAGCUGUUAUGGUGCUUGAGUAGUGCACACUUAAUACUUGGUUGGUGAAAUCUGAGUAUAGAAGGUACUGCCAGUUUGGGGUUUGUGCCCUGGUUAGUAACAGUCUGCUCUGAGGCUGGUUAGUACUCAUGCUCCUGAGUCACUCCAGACAGCUUGACAAUGGGGAUAUCAGCGCCAACUAGAUACACACUUAAUUUAAGACCAUUUGCUUUCCUUUCAGUCAUCUAUUAAGUUCUGGUUUUAGAAGUUCAUGUUGAACACUUGAAGGGCAGUUAUAUGAAAUGACAGCCAAUUAAUGCCCUGCUAAAGUUCAGCAAUAAAACAUUUAAAUGUAAUCCUAAUAGAUAAAGCUCCAAACCAUAACAGUGCAUUCUUUCUUCAGUAUUUCGACAAUUGUCAUUUGCUAAGGCAGUGCUGCAACUUUGUUUAAAUUAAAAAAAAAAAAACUCACCCAUUAAAGCUUAACUCUUUAGGCUAAGAAGGUCUUGAGCUCCUGCCAGCAAAUGUGGAUGCAAUUUACAUUAGUACUUGGUGGAUGAGAAUUCUUGAACUAAUAUCAAAAAGGGGGACAUGCACAUAAACCCAUGCAUGCUUGGAUUUAACAAACUGACUAGGUGUGAUCUGUCAUUCACACUGGGUAUUUUUUCCAGACACAUGCAACCAUAAUGUCUGGACAAUAAUUUUAAUCCGUUAGGUGUUUCUGAUGGGGUCACUUAGCUGCCAGUUACUAUUUUACUCAAGAACAUACUAUUAUUGCAUGUUCUCUUGUGUUAUUCAUAGUAUUAAUAGUUGGGCUGGCCACUUGCCAUAGGACCCAAUUCUCAUUUACGCUAAAGCUAUUUUACACCACCCUGGAGGGGGCUUAAUUUGCAGUUUUGGCCACGUUCACCCUGGAGAGAGCAGGGGUAAUGCUAAUUGCACAUACCCCAGAGCCUGCUUGGCAGCUGCACCAGAGAGUGAAAUCUGACCGAUAGGGGGUCAUUAUCACCAUCCUUCUCUGUGUGAUUCUGUCAACAGAGCUGUAAAAUCUGGUCUGGCAGAGGCUGAUUCAAUACAUCUCUUGGCCAGGCCAGGCCAGUUCCAUCCACUUUGUAAGGAAACACCGACCAGCUCUGGGUACUCUUGUAGAGCAGAGGUUACAGUAAAUAUGCAUUUAUGCCCUUAUUUGUCAGAAAACUUUCCAAUUCUUAGCGCCCACAGCCAAAGUUCUGCCAACAGAACUCAGUGAGUGACUCCGGUAAUUUAUCUUGCAGUUUUGGUUAAGUUCAUUAGGAUCCUUAUUUAUAUUGUCCUUUUUGUGCAUACACCAUAAAUUUUUGUUUUGUUCACUUUAUGCUUUCAACUUCGAUUUCUUUUUUGGAAUGUGAAAUUGUUUUCUUGUCUUUUCUAUUAUAUUCUGGUAGCAUCACCUAUUAAAGUUGCCCAAUACUGUAAGACCGUGUUUUUCAGUUGUAUGCCAAACUUUAAUCACUUGGGCUGAAAUUUUCCAGGCUGGGUUUCUGUCUCAGGCUGAAUCUUUUUGAAAAUUUCAGUGAAAAUGGUUUAGCGAUUUCUGAGAAUGAGCCUACAUAAAAAUACAUUGUUAUGCACAUGUUAAAAAAUUCUAGCAACCUUUUCUUUUAAGAGAUCAUGCUUUGGAGCAGAGACUUAAAAUUAGGCAUUUUGGUCUUUUGUAUCAGGAAUGAGCCAUUUGCUGUCCCCAGGAAAAUCCAACCAAAUUUGGUCAAACUAGAAGCCUUUGAAAAGUUGCAGUUCACACCUGCCCAUUAGAUAUGUAAAAGUUUAACAGCUAAAUUCUCUGAAGAUUCAGUCCUCAAGGAGUAUGUUCAACCCCCUCCUAUCUCCUAGUGCUCCCUUGACUCUGCAUGCACCAUCCUCACAGGACAACUGAGCAUGCUCCAGCCAUCAGGGCACAACCUGUAAUAGCUUAGGGUUACCAUAUUUGUACACU